GAGAGCUGUGCAGAGAAGUCAACUUCAUCAUGAUGAAGCCUCACCUGCUUUUCACACUGAUGUAUUUCUGUCUGGAGUUGGAAGCACACGAUCUUUCUCCACCCAAACUGACAGUGGAUGUAUCUGUGAUCAAAAAAACAGAUUCAGUGACAUUAAAGUGUCAGAGUUCAUCUACAGAGUCUACUUCUGAGUGUUCUUUCUUCGCUCAAAGUGAAACGCUCUUUGUGGGCCGCUGUCUGCAGAACAUAACAGGAGCUGAAAUUCUGAUACGAACUAAAAGAAGAUCUCCUGCUACCGUUGAAGUUAGAUGUUCUUACACUGUAAAGGAAGGAAAUUUCCAUUUUACAUCUGUAGAGAGUGAUCCAUCCACCAUUGAGAUAAACAAUCUUCUUAGACCUGAUCUGACCGUGAAUCCACGUCUGAUCUCAGAAAAGGAUUCAGUCACAUUAAACUGUCAGACUUCAGUGUCUUUGACUGAAUGUUCGUGGCAUUUUAAGGGAAAAAGUCGAGCCCGACGUUUCUCUUGUUCUAAGACACUGACUGGAGCUGAGCUGAUAGAAAUUACGAGUCUAAGAGUUCCUGCUAAAGUCCGAGUUUCGUGCUCUUACCUUGAUGGUACAAAAUCUCCAGAAAGUGAACAGAAGACCAUCACUAUCCAGCUUCCUCAGCCUGAACUAAGAGUGAAUCCAGCUGUGAUCACAGAGAGAGACUCGGCCACACUGAACUGUGUGUCUCCAUCAUCUCUUUCUGUCUCUGAAUGUCAUUUCUACUUUUUGAAAACAAAAACCACAAAAAGCAGCUCCUGCAUGCAGACGCUGACAGCAGCUGAACUUCUGUCCAUGUCUAGUCAAAGAUCACCUGCUGAUGUUGAACUAACGUGUUUUUACUCUGUGGAAGAGCAAGAAGGAAACUCUCAGUCUCCACGCAGCAAUGUCAGCUACAUCCACAUCAGUGUAGAAAGAAAAAGGACAUCAGUGACUUCAGCAGACAGUUGGUCUGGAGAUUUAACUACUGGCACGCCAAAGAUCUCUGACCUUCUUCCACCUGAUCUGACCGUGAAUCCACGGCUGAUCUCAGAAAAGGAUUCAGUCACAUUAAACUGUCAGACUUCAGUGUCUUUGACUGAAUGUUUUUGGCUCUUUAAGGGAAAAAGUCGAGCCCAACAUUUCUCUUGUUCUAAGACACUGACUGGAGCUGAGCUGAUAGAAAUGACGAGUCUAAGAGUUCCUGCUAAAGUUACAAUCUCAUGUUUUUACCUUAAUGGUACAAAAUCUCCAGAAAGUGAAGAGAAGACCAUCACUAUCCAGUUUCCUCAGCCUGAACUAAGAGUGAAUCCAGCUGUGAUCACAGAGAGAGACUCGGCCACACUGAACUGUGUGUCUCCAUCAUCUCUUUCUGUCUCUGAAUGUCAUUUCUACUUUUUGAAAACAAAAAUCACAAAAAGCAGCUCCUGCAUGCAGACGCUGACAGCAGCUGAACUUCUGUCCAUGUCAAGUCAAAGGUCACCUGCUGAUGUUGAACUAACGUGUUUUUACUCUGUGGAAGAGCAAGAAGGAAACUCUCAGUCUCCACGCAGCAAUGUCAGCUACAUCCACAUCAGUGUGGUAAGAAAAAGGACGUUAGUGACUUCAGCAGACAGUUGGUCUGGAGAUUUAACUACUGGAACACCAAAGAUCUCUGGUACUCCAUCAUCUACGUCUUUCACAUCAGUGAAUCCUGAUUCAGAAAAUCCACAGAUCCAUCUUUCUAACGGAGAAGAAUGGAAAAAGCUCUUAGCUUUUCCAGUUUUUGUGGUCGCUGUUUGUGCAAUCGUCCUGGGAUGGACUCUCUUUUGGUCCAAUAGAGAAAGUGGUAAGAACAGCGACGACUCCUGUGAGAUUUAAAGAAGAUAACUUGCUGCUCUUUCAUCUGCUGGUUAAUGUCAUGGAAAACCAAAAAACCUCACUCGCCUCACUUAUCUGUUAGUUUUGUACUUUCAUCUCAAGUCACAUGGCUGAAAAUAUAAAAAGUACAACCAAGUUUCUGAGAGUUUUUUAUUUAUUUUCUAACUUAAAGUCAGUUUAAUUGUCAAGACAGAGGCAUUACAUUUGUCAAUUUCCU
rnacentral:lncRNA from 1 species